CAGCAGCCGCGGUAAGACAGAGGAUGCAAGCGUUAUCCGGAAUGAUUGGGCGUAAAGCGUCUGUAGGUGGCUUUUCAAGUCCGCCGUCAAAUCCCAGGGCUCAACCCUGGACAGGCGGUGGAAACUACCAAGCUGGAGUACGGUAGGGGCAGAGGGAAUUUCCAGUGGAGCGGUGAAAUGCGUUGAGAUCGAAAAGAACACCAACAGCGAAAGCACUCUGCUGGGACGACACUGACACUGAGAGACGAAAUCUAGGGGAGCAAAUGGGAUUAGAUACCCCCGUAGUCCCUGUCUCUUAUAC
rnacentral:rRNA from 1 species